UUGCUGCCCUUCCUCUUCCCCAGGGCACAGAAACACUCUCCACUGCGGCCAAGGAUUGCAGGAGAGGUGGCAUCAGUGAUUCAAGACUGCUUUUCCUACCUCUUCAGUGUUUCUUUCAGUGAUAUGAAGUUAAAGCCAGGAGGACUAUCACAGAAGUGAAGUGCAGUUCUCAUCAUGUCAUAUCAAUAGCACACACUAACAACCUGACUUAUUGCUGAAUAUUGAACUUGAUCACCUGGCUGAGGUAGUGUUUGCCAGAUUUCUCUGUAAAGGUGAAUAAACUGACACUGGAACAUUCAGGAACUUCUUCAUGGUCAUGGUCACCCAGCUAGAGUGUGGAAGCCAGGCUGUCUGAGUCCAGGAUCUGUGUUCUUAAUCCAACACAUAAGGAAGCCAUAAUGAGUCAACCACUAUUUUUAAGAUUCACAGAUGUUUGUGUCCAAUUCACCAGAAUGCCAAGUUAUACAGGGUUGUGGAAUCAAAAACUGCAAUUAGUAAUAAAAUGUGAUGCUAUCUGGAAUGUUUUUCAUACAUAUAUAUGCUUCUUGGGAUUCUCCCUGCAGGUUAAGAGAAAUUGAGGAACAAUGGAGAAUUUAAGUGUUUUAGAUCCUACAAACAUUAGACUUAAAAAUAGUAACUAUAUACAUGAGUAUUUAUAAACUUAAGAAUGAACAUAACAUGAACCAUGUGGCACCUAUAAAAUGAAAA
rnacentral:lncRNA from 1 species